rnacentral:rRNA from 1 species
AGUGAACGCUGGCGGUAGGCCUGACACAUGCAAGUCGAACGGCAGCACAGUAAGAGCUUGCUCUUACGGGUGGCGAGUGGCGGACGGGUGAGGAAUACAUCGGAAUCUACUUUUUCGUGGGGGAUAACGUAGGGAAACUUACGCUAAUACCGCAUACGACCUACGGGUGAAAGCAGGGGAUCUUCGGACCUUGCGCGAUUGAAUGAGCCGAUGUCGGAUUAGCUAGUUGGCGGGGUAAAGGCCCACCAAGGCAACGAUCCGUAGCUGGUCGGGGAGGAUGAUCAGCAACACUGGAACUGCGACACGGUCCAGACUCCUACGGGAGGCAGCAGUGGGGAAUAUUGGACAAUGGGCGCAGUCCUGAUCCAGCCAUACCGCGUGGGUGAAGAAGGCCUUCGGGUUGUAAAGCCCUUUUGUUGGGAAAGAAAAGCAGCAGGUUAAUACCCCGCUGUUCUGACGGUACCCAAAGAAUAAGCACCGGCUAACUUCGUG